UACGUAGGGUGCGAGCGUUAAUCGGAAUUACUGGGCGUAAAGCGUGCGCAGGCGGUUCGUUGUGUCGGCGGUGAAAGCCCCGGGCUUAACCUGGGAAUGGCCGUCGAAACUGGCGAACUGGAGUGUGGCAGAGGGGGGUGGAAUUCCGCGUGUAGCAGUGAAAUGCGUAGAGAUGCGGAGGAACACCGAUGGCGAAGGCGGCGCUCUAGGCCGGUACUGACACUGAGGAGCGAAAGCGUGGGUAGCAAACAGG
rnacentral:rRNA from 1 species